rnacentral:rRNA from 1 species
ACGGGUGAGUAAUGUCUGGGAAACUGCCUGAUGGAGGGGGAUAACUACUGGAAACGGUAGCUAAUACCGCAUAACGUCGCAAGACCAAAGAGGGGGACCUUCGGGCCUCUUGCCAUCAGAUGUGCCCAGAUGGGAUUAGCUAGUAGGUGGGGUAACGGCUCACCUAGGCGGCGAUCCCUAGCUGGUCUGAGAGGAUGACCAGCCACACUGGAACUGAGACACGGUCCAGACUCCUACGGGAGGCAGCAUG